GGAUUGAACGCUGGCGGCAUGCCUAACACAUGCAAGUCGAACGGGAGUAGCAAUACUCUAGUGGCGGACGGGUGAGGAAUACGUAGGAAUUUGCCCUUAAGUGGGGGAUAACCCGGGGGAACCCGGAUUAAUACCGCAUGACCUCGAAAGAGCAAAGUGGGGGAUCGCAAGACCUCACGCUUUUGGAGAAGCCUACGUCGGAUUAGCUAGUUGGUGAGGUAAUGGCUCACCAAGGCGACGAUCCGUAACUGGUCUGAGAGGAUGAUCAGUCACACCGGAACUGAGACACGGUCCGGACUCCGUACGGGAGGCAGCGAGGUGGGAAUAGUGGACAAGUGGGCGCAAGCCUGACUCCAGCAAUCGCCGUCGGUGUGGUAGAAGGACGGUCCGUUUCGGGUUAGUAACGCUAACGUUUAAGGUUAAGGGAAAGAAAAACUCGUACUACUAACAC
rnacentral:rRNA from 1 species